GCAAGUCGAGCGCGCCUUUCGGGGUGAGUAUAGCGGCGGACGGGUGAGUAACGCGUGGGAAUAUGCCCAUCUGAGGGGGAUAACUUGUGGAAACGCAAGCUAAUACCGCAUACGCCCUAAGGGGGAAAGCGGGGGAUCUUCGGACCUCGUGCAGAUGGAUUAGCCCGCGUCGGAUUAGCUAGUUGGUGGGGUAAAGGCCUACCAAGGCGACGAUCCGUAGCUGGUCUGAGAGGAUGAUC
rnacentral:rRNA from 1 species